AGGGAAACCAACAUGCAAUGAACUAUGAAGAUUAGUUUGCAUCGGUAGAUUGGGCUGCCCGAGUUGAAUGUUUGUUCCGAUGAGGCCUAUAUUCGACGCUGGAUGAUUAUUUAAAUAAACGUCAUUUGUUUUUACUUCGUAAUUAUGUUGCACCGGAGUGGGACUCGUUACAGCUUUCUGCGAUGUUAAACUCGUGCUAAUAGUAGCAAGAUCAAAAUUUGAAUCUAACCAUGUGGAUUGAUUUUAUAAGUAGCAUCAGUUGUUUGUUGACGUGAAUUUUCUUCUAUAUUCACUUCAUUGUUGAAAGGCUUAUCCAUGGGACUCAGAUUAGGCGCAGGAAUCGUAUGAAUUGGUCCCUUAUCAUCAUCGACACCACCUCUAUGAGUCGGUGGCAAAACAGCAGCUUCCGGUCUGUAUUCAGGACUAUAUUCCGGCAUUUUAUUUACGAUGGCACAUUGAACAUCGGAGGUCGACGAAUUCUGGAAUAAAGGAUAGAUCGAGAAAAUUUCACGUUCGAUGAAAAAUGUAUUUUUUCUAUAUAUAUAUUCUCAAAGAUUCACCUAUAAUUCGACGGUUUGUGAGCUAUUCGUUUCAAUGGGAAAUUUCCAUUGAUAUGCAUUGUAUUUCCCACCGAAAUUCGAUGAGUAAUUGGCCAUGAUUUUUUGAACAUCAAUUUAGGAGGCUGUGGGGGAGGCAACGGAGGUCUUCUAAUCUUGUAUCUAGCUUCGACAAGGCAGAUACAUGCGAUCAAUAGCCAACACAUCCAAUUUGUCGUCUGAAAUUAACAGAUUAAUUUGUCUGUUAUGUUUCAAGUGAAGUUUGAAGAAAAAUUGAUAGAUUAAUUACUAUAAUUAAAGUUUUACGACAUAAAUUUCAUUGUUUACUAAAACAUUACAAACGAAUUGUUUUUAUAUUCAACGCCAAUUCGUAAUCUGUUAUGUUGAACUAUCGUAACAAUGACCGUGACAAUGGAUGUUCAUUGUGGCAUUAAGCAAUUAUAGUUUGAGAAACGCUGGCGUUGGCAAUGAAACCGAAGAGAGAAGUGCUGUGAGUUGUUAGCGGGUAAAGUGGGACGGUGUGCUACAUCGAUGGUAGGAAAAGCGAGGGUAGUAAGAAGCCAGGUGAGGAGCGAGGUCGAAAAGAAAAUAGUCGAACCUGGAAAUAAUGAUCCGGCACCGACGGAUUGAGAUGAUGACCGCGGAUGCAACAAGUUGUAUCGUAACGAUUAUGGUUCGUUUUCGCUCGAAUUGCAUUUCCGAUUUAUCACCUGAUAACUUGUUUGUUUUCACUGAGAGGAAAAAAUGGAAAGCGAUAAAAGAAAAAUAAGAAAAAAAAAAAAAAGAAAAUAUAAAAAUAUACCGGAAGUUAUGAUCACAAAUAAUCGAAUAUGAAUUGACGCGUGCAAUGAUUGGACGUUGAGGAAGCACUGCGUGUUCUGCACACAAUUAGGUCAUUGUCCUUCAUUUAUACUCGCAACCGGCGAAUGUAUCAUCGAAGGCCGAAACGUUGUUCCUCCUACUCUGAUGGAUAACAGCUGCUUCAAAACGCGGAAUGUAACCGGGAAAAGUCAUAGAUUCCACAAAAUUCAUAAAAAUUCCAAAUUCUAUGAUUCUUCAACGCAAAGUAUCAAGCAAAUUUAUUAAAAUUAAUAAAAUUAAUUGUAUAUUACACGUAAAUAGAUAUCUUUUCAUCUUUUAUCUUCUCUCUUCUAAAUAUUUUCCAACAGGUAAAGUUGAUGGUAAAGUAGAUACAAAAAUAAAUCAAUAGAUUAUCAUUGAUAUUAACAUUUUGAUUUGUUAAAAAUUCUUUAAUUUUUAAAAAUUUUGUCUAAUUUUUAAAUUUUUUAUAAAAGUUUUUUUUUAGUUUACUUUCUUUUCUCCUAUACUUCCUCCGAGUUAAAGAAGUAAAGUCAUGUAUAGUGAACGUCUUCCAGAAACGGUACUUUGACAAAGACGCCUUUAGAGAAAAGAAAAGAUAACGCGAAGUCUAUUUCGAUGCGAUCUUACAUCAAUUUCAAACCAAAGUCAAUGUAUGAACAAUUAAAAUAGUAAAUUUAAUAUUAAUAUUCAUAAGAACGUGUUAACGACGUUAAUUUAUCUUUAACGACGUCCGAUUGUUUCGAUGAUGCAUGACACUUUUGCGAAUCUGUUACAAUCAGCCGAAAAGGAAUUCGAUGACAGGAAAGUCGAUUUGCGAUUGUAUCAAAGGCCCUUUGCGACUCGACAGAUGGACAGAACGAUCGAAGACCGGUCAAACGCCGUUUCUCUCCAUAUCCUGCUACUGGAUUCCCUCGUGAGAAUAUACCUGUGUGCGUGGAUACGCACGGACCAACAUGUGUGAUCCAGUGACCCACUAUAUUCAUCGGUGGCUACAAUAAUCCCAAGAAGAUUCGUCCAUGCAUGAUUGAAUCCAUCCAUGAAAUUUCUUAGUCUUCUUCCUUUGUAACGAGGCGAAAGCCGCAACACGGACACAUAUAUACAUAAAGCGUUAUGUAAUGACGCAUUUGAACCUUAUCAGAAAGGAAUUGAACAAGAGCAAAAGUGGAAUCGAUUUAAGAUUUUGAAAAUCGGAAGGAGGAAAAAGAAGAAAGGAAUGAGAUCGUUAUUCUCGCGGAAGAGAAUAGAAUUGUUGAAGAAAAAAAAAAACUUAUCGUUGAAAUGUGAAAUUUAAGAAAGAAGCAAUCAUGAUAAGCAAGGGAAAGUUCACAGAGACGGUAUCAUGAAAUUAAGUAUCCAAGUUAAGAAAAAAUAUACAAACAAAGUUUAAAUUAAAAAAGGACUUACUAAUUGGUGGGGGAGGAUGAUCGUACAAAUACGUGGGAUGGGGCGGCUCCGUACGAGGUUGCACGGCACUCUUAGCUAUAUUUCGACCCAAUGUAGUGAUCACGUCCCCAGUUUUACUAAUUAUUUUUCCCUUUGAAGAGACAAGGUUUUCUUGGGAUAAAUGGAAUUUGGAAGGAGAUAAUUUUGAUGUUAAUUUAUGAAAGGAUAUUUUUUUAUCAGUUCGAUAACAAAGGUAUAACAUAUUGGCAAGAUUUAUAAAUCAGUGAAGCAUGGAAUAUAGGAACGAACGAAUGCAACAAGUGGAGCGGUUCUUGGUGAAAGUCAUAUGAGGAUUCCGUUUUAGAUGUCCAUGUUUGCGACCAUCACGAAGAAUCAACGAUCUUGACAGGAUUACUGAUUUUAUAAGUGAGGAGAAAAAGGAACGAAGAAAUUGACGAGUAGAAAAGUUUGAAAGGAUAAAAAAUACUAUGGCAUGAAAAUUAUCUAUUCGCAAGUAAAAUUCUAGUAUACAUAAAUAUACGCUAUGCUACGUUUCUCAAAUUUUUAUUAUUUCAAGUUUCACGCGGAAAUCUUUAACGAUUUAAUUGCAAUAAUAAAGAAAUGAUUAAUAUAAAUUUCAACGUUCAUAUAAAAAUAAAAAUCCCAAUAAUGAUUCUUUUAAUCUAAAUAUUAAAAACAGAACAUUUCAUUUAUAAAUUUGCAACGAUAACAAAAAUACAAUGAUAUAUUUCUGUUUGAAUUGAUCACUUAAAGGAAUUCUCUCAGUCGGAUGAAAGUGAUCAAAGCGUCCUUGCUCUUGAAGCUAAUGUCAAUGCUCGACCUAGUUACCGUACGUUCCUCGGUCGUUACGCUUGUCAUGAUUUCUAAAAAUCCAUUGGUCGGUAUAUCAUAGAAAUAUCACUUGUUGUUAUGGAUUUCUCAUCUUUUUAAAAUUAAACUCUUCGAUCAGAAGAGAUGAUUGGAAUGAUUUUCGAUUAUACACUGAGAAACACUUCCGGUUAUACACAAGAUCUAUCAAAAUUAAUAUACAUGUUUCAUCAUCCAUUUCUAGCCAACUUUCUUCUCAAUAGACUUUGCACUAUACUAUUCGAUGGACCACUCGACUCGCGUUUCAUUUCAUCUUAUGAUCAACUUUCACGACAUUUUUGUGAUUCUAUUUGAUCAUUUAUUUGUAAGAAAAAUUUUUUCUAUAUUUUUAUUUUUUUUUCUCAAGCGAUAGAUCUUUUCACUAUCGGAGAAAAGCUUAUGAUCGUAAAAAAGGAGACAUGUCUAAAAAGUUAUGCUUCAAUGUGAAAAGAAAUAUGUGUUUGAAGGAAAGGAUAAUACGAAAGUUUAAAAGACAUUAAGAGCUGAAUAAAUGGAACAAAGGAAUGUAAUUUUUUCCGGACAAACAACCUCUCUUUAAUGAUAAUGAUCCUCGUCCUUUUUUUUACACUUUUACUUUCUAUAGAGUAUGAAGUACGGAUAAAGUCUAAUUUUCUCCAUUGUUAUGUAUAAAUCUUAAAAGGAAUGUACCCACGAGAAUGAAGCAACGUGUUUUACUUUCACACAAACUGAUCUACUCUCGAUCUUAGUACAAGAAAUGAACCGCAAGAAGAUCUAUAUAGAUGAUUUUCUAAUAAUCAUUCGAUCGAUCAACGCUAGAUAUUGAUAUUGCACUAUAAUUAAUGAUAAUUAAAUAAUCUCUCACUUAAGACUUUAUGUGUAUAUUAUAAAUCUCGACUUCAACUUUCUCUGUGUUGUUUUGAUUUUCAAAGCAUAAAUUUAAAAUAACGUUGAAUUUAAUUAAGAAGAACGAAGAAUGAGUCUAUCACAAGUUCAAUGAUCAUAUUAAAAACUGACGAUUCAAGUGGAAGAUGGGAUGAGAUAGGAAAAUUGACACUUCACACAUGAAACAAAGGAUGCACGAUGAUCUUGAAACGGGUUUAACACGCAUAUUGGAAAAUUGCCAAUCAUGUCGUUGGCUUACUUUCUUCGAUUGCAGACAGUCGAUGCGACCAAAAUUUAUAUGCGCGUCAUAUGCAUGCUCUAUUAUAUUAAAAUACGCUUCGUCAAGCGCGGCAAAUAAACAAGAAAGAAGAAGAAGAGAUAUAUAUAUACUCCUGUUUUUUUUUCUUUAUUCAAGUUUCUUAGUCAAAGCACGCUAAUGAAAGCGAUUUCAGUGAAAUGCAAGUACAUCCCUCCAAAUAAUGAAUAAUGAAUAGCCAGUUUUACUCGAUUUUCAUCGGGUGGCUCGAUAGUUUUCAUAUUUUCCCCGGUCUCGCUUCACGGUGCGUGAACAACAUAAUUGAUCACCCGAUUAAUGACAUAACUCGAUUCUCAUUAAAUUUAUAUGUAUAUGUAUAUGUUAUAUGACAUGUAUCUGAAUGAAAACUCAACAAUGUCGCUUUGCGCCUCGUUAAAGUGGCAAAAUUUAAAUAUGGAAUAAAAGGUUUGAUGGAAGAAAGGAAAAUUCAUGUUAAUAUGAUAAUUAAAUUAAAAAAGAUAUAACAUUUACAUAAAAAUAUUUUAAGUCGAGUAUAUUGAAUUGAACAUUUGAAAUUGAAUAUUCUGAAUAGAAAGCAAGAAAAUUGGCGGAAUCCUAUCAUUAUUUGUAUCCGGUUAUACAUAUAUUCACUAUGAAUAGACAUUCUUACGUACUCAAGCAGGAAAGUCAUCUAAUUCAUGACAGGAUAAUUAUAUCGAAUGUAUUAUACGUAAUAUGUAUACAUUCUCGUAAAUUCGAUACAGGUUUCUUAACUAUUCUCUCUUUUUUUAUUUUUAAAUUUCAUUGUUGUUGUACAGUACACAUCUUAUCACAUGAUUAUUUUUACGAUAAAUUUAAUUUUCAUUUUCAUAUUGCCAGACAUAACAAAUAAAGAUAAAAAUUAAAUGAAUCACAUGCUACUAGACAAUAUAUGCAUUUUAAGCUAAUAUAGCUAUUAAUAAAAUAAACUUAGCAUGCAUAAAGAAGAAACAAACUGUUCUGAAGUGAGAGAAAUCGAUAAGAUGAUAUAGCGGUUAUAAGUCAGAGAGGAGUCAUCGAAGAGAGAGAGAAAAAAAAA